AACGAACGCUGGCGGCAUGCCUAACACAUGCAAGUCGAACGAGACCUUCGGGUCUAGUGGCGCACGGGUGCGUAACGCGUGGGAACCUGCCCUUAGGUUCGGAAUAACUCCCCGAAAGGGGUGCUAAUACCGGAUAAUGUCUUCGGACCAAAGAUUUAUCGCCUUUGGCUGGGCCCGCGUUGGAUUAGUUAGUUGGUAGGGUAAAAGCCUACCAAGGCGACGAUCCAUAGAUGUUCUGAGAGGAUGAUCAGCCACACUGGGACUGAGACACGGCCCAGACUCCUACGGGAGGCAGCAGUGGGGAAUGUAGGAAAAUGGGGGAAAGCCUGAUCCAGCAAUGCCGCGUGAGUGAUGAAGGCCUUAGGGUUGUAAAGCGCUGUUACCCGGGAUGAUAAUGACAGUACCGGGAGAAUAAGCUCCGGCUAACUCCGUG
rnacentral:rRNA from 1 species